UGAGUGAUGAAGGCCUUCGGGUCGUAAAGCUCUUUUACCAGGGAUGAUAAUGACAGUACCUGGAGAAUAAGCUCCGGCUAACUCCGUGCCAGCAGCCGCGGUAAUAUGGAGGGAGCUAGCGUUGUUCGGAAUUACUGGGCGUAAAGAGUACGUAGGCGGCUAUUCAAGUCAGAGGUGAAAGCCCGGGGCUCAACCCCGGAACUGCCUUUGAAACUAGGUAGCUAGAAUCUUGGAGAGGUCAGUGGAAUUCCGAGUGUAGAGGUGAAAUUCGUAGAUAUUCGGAAGAACACCAGUGGCGAAGGCGACUGACUGGACAAGUAUUGACGCUGAGGUACGAAAGCGUGGGGAGCAAACAGGAUUAGAUACCCUGGUAGUCCACGCCGUAAACGA
rnacentral:rRNA from 1 species